UAGAAAUUCCGAAGCCUAAAUUGGUUCUCAUUACUAAUUGAUUCUGUUGUUACAGAGUAUUGCAUGCAAUUCCUUCAAAUGAAGCAAUUGAUACGGUCGAGGUUUUGCAAUCAAGAACGCACCCUACUUUUGUGUCAUGGAAAGGUGGAGCGAUUUUAGGAAUUCUUGAUAUUGGCCGAGAUGCUUGGAUACAUCGAAUGGACCGGAUUCACAAUGGAGUCCAUGUUGGUAUCGGCAGAAAGUACCAGGACUCUUAUUAUGUCCAAGCACAAGCAACAUGUUACAUAAACUCUUGAAAGGCAGGACCAGAUGUUGAAGUUUUAAAUCAUCUUCACUUGUGCAGCAGUUGCAGCAGGUGGUUUCCCCUUCUAAGCGUUCUGUGGGGUAAGGUUGCAAG